ACGUUUUUUAUAGCUAGAUAAAAACAAUCAAAUCAUCGACAACUAUUACAGUAAUCAGAUUAAGAUUUAUAAGAAAAACUGCAGUGAAGAGUAGAAGUGUGUAUCUCCGUUCCCUGAUGCGCUUGUGUUGGAAGUGAAGCUCGGAACGGCAGCAGCGACACUGAGAGGAUUCCACCUGCUCUCGGCAGCAGCCUCCCACACUCUUCAGAGUGACAUGGGGCUGGUGCUUAGUUACUACAUCUCCAGGGGGCGAGAUCCGAGACUCACAACUACAGCACGCCGGUGAAUGAUCUGCCCCGAGAUGCACCUACAGUAGAAAUAACGACCUUGCGCAAAACAUAACGGGCGUUUAGCAAUCAGCUGAAUAAAAAGAGCCCACAGAAGAGCACAUAUAGCGGUGGGUUUCAAUAAAACUUUUGUGAGUUAAGAAAA